AUUGAACGCUGGCGGCAGGCUUAACACAUGCAAGUCGAGCGAGAGGCGGACGGGUGAGUAAUUUCUGGGAAACUGCCUGAUCGAGGGAGGUAACUACUGGAAACGGUAGCUAAUACCGCAUACCAUCAGAUGUGCCCAGAUGGGAUUAGCUAGGAGGUGGGGUAAUGGCUCACCUAGGCGCCGAUCCCUAGCUGGUCUGAGAGGCUGACCAGACAAACUGGAACUGAGACACGGUCCAGACUCCUACGGGAGGCAGCAGUGGGGAAUAUUGCACAAGGGGCGAAAGCCUGAUGAAGCCAUGCCGCGUGAGUGAAGAAGGCCUUCGGGUUGUAAAGCACUUUCAGAGAGGAGGCGUUACUCGCAGAAGAAGCAACGGCUAACUCCGUGCCAGCAGCCGCGGUAAUAA
rnacentral:rRNA from 1 species